AAAAGUGGUUAAGUAUUAUAUUUUGAAAUGUGAAUUUGUGACUUGAAAAUGUGAACUUAUGUUUUGAAAAUGGUAAGUGUAGUUACUUAAAGUAGUGAACUAAUGACUUGAGAAUGUGAAUUAAUGACUUGAAAAUGGUUAACUUCUAAAGUUGGCGGCCUAGGUCUUACACUUGCAAAAGCAGACCGAGUGAUUGUUUUUUAUCCAACAUGGAAUCCAAGAAUCGAUAUGUUCAAGCAAUCGAAGAGCUCAAAAAGUGUCUAUCGAUAAAUGAUUAAAUCCAAUCAUGUCAUCAGAGGAAGAAACUUUCUCCUACUGGCUGGAUAUAGUUGGAGGCAUGUAUAAGGGAAAGGGAUACGGUCUUUGCUCUAAGAAGAACUUUCACCGCCUCUAGUGUGGAUUGCAAGGUAUAUAAAGUUUUGCCACCAUGUCAGAUGAGCAGCUUGAGGAGAUGCAACAGAAAGUUUAGGAGCUUUCUAGGAACUAUGAGGAGUAACAAUAAAGAAGGAUGGAGGUGGAGCGGCGUAGGACGACAGUUGAGUCAGACUAUCAAGAACUCAAGGCUCAAGUAAAUACCUUAAUCAAACUUCCUUGUUCUCCGCCCCCUAGCAAGGUAUAUGAAGUUUUGCUACCAUGUCAGAUGAGCAGCUUGAGGAGAUGCAACAAAAAGUUUAGGAGCUUUCUAGGAACUAUGAGGAGUAACAAUAAAGAAGGAUGGAGGUGGAGCGGCGUAGGACGACAGUUGAGUCAGACUAUCAAGAACUCAAGGCUCAAGUAAAUACCUUAAUCAAACUUCCUUGUUCUUCGGCCCCUAGCUCUGAUUAUGAUGGUAGAGUGGAUGAGGAGGAUGGAAUGGAGUAUUAAGUGUUGCUGUUAUUUUAGUUUUGGAUUUUAAUAGUUUGGAGUGUCUGAAAAAAAUAUUUUAGUGAUUCUUUGCAUACUUUUUUAAUACUUGGUUUGCCUAUUGUUUAAGUUGGGUGAAUUUGUAUGAGGUUUGAUUGCUUAAUUUCAAUUUUUGAAUUAUUUUGUAAGUAUUUUUC